UUGAACGCUGGCGGCAUGCCUUACACAUGCAAGUCGAACGGUAACGGGCCUUCGGGUGCCGACGAGUGGCGAACGGGUGAGUAAUACAUCGGAACGUGCCCGAUCGUGGGGGAUAACGAGGCGAAAGCUUUGCUAAUACCGCAUACGAUCUACGGAUGAAAGCAGGGGACCGCAAGGCCUUGCGCGGACGGAGCGGCCGAUGGCAGAUUAGGUAGUUGGUGGGAUAAAAGCUUACCAAGCCGACGAUCUGUAGCUGGUCUGAGAGGAUGAUCAGCCACACUGGGACUGAGACGCGGCCCAGACUCCUACGGGAGGCAGCAGUGGGGAAUUUUGGACAAUGGGCGCAAGCCUGAUCCAGCCAUGCCGCGUGCAGGAUGAAGGCCUUCGGGUUGUAAACUGCUUUUGUACGGAACGAAAAGCCUUCUUUUAAUACAGGAGGGUCAUGACGGUACCGUAAGAAUAAGCACCGGCUAACUACGUG
rnacentral:rRNA from 1 species